UACGGGGGGGGCAAGCGUUGUUCGGAAUUACUGGGCGUAAAGGGCUCGUAGGUGGCCAACUAAGUCAGACGUGAAAUCCCUCGGCUUAACCGGGGAACUGCGUCUGAUACUGGAUGGCUUGAGUUUGGGAGAGGGACGCGGAAUUCCAGGUGUAGCGGUGAAAUGCGUAGAUAUCGAGAGGAACACCUGCGGCGAAGGCGGGUUGCUGGGCUGACACUGACGCUGAUGCGCGAAAGCCAGGGGAGCGAACGGG
rnacentral:rRNA from 1 species